AGCAGCCGCCGCGGGAAUACGUAGGUGGCAAGCGUUGUCCGGAAUUAUUAGGCGUAAAGGGCUCGCAGGCGGUUUCUUAAGUCUGAUGUGAAAGCUCCCGGCUCAACCGGGGAGGGUCAUUGGAAACUGGGAAACUUGAGUGCAGAAGAGGAGAGUGGAAUUCCACGUGUAGCGGUGAAAUGCGUAGAGAUGUGGAGGAACACCAGUGGCGAAGGCGACUCUCUGGUCUGUAACUGACGCUGAGGAGCGAAAGCGUGGGGAGCGAACAGGAUUAGAUACCCCGGUAGUCCCUGUCUCUUAUAC
rnacentral:rRNA from 1 species